CUGCGUUCCCGUUCCACAGUGGGGAGCGGGCUUCAGAUCGCCUCAGCAACACAACAAAAUGGUGCCCUAAUAUAUUGGGCUCAUUAAUACACUACUAUUACACCUUACGCUGCAUUCAAAUCCAGCCAAGUCACUGCAAUCACACACACACUCCACAUAUGAUACAGGCAUUAGUUCACCGUUUAUUUCAUACUGCAGUAAAAAAACUAAAAUAAGUGUGCAUUAUAACAAAAACAUAAAUAAAACAUAAGAUCCCUCCCCCCCUCGCCUUGUUAUUAAAUGUGCUCAAUAAAUACAAUUGAUUUGAUUAGCAUUUUACAGACCGAUACAAUGGAUAGGGCGUUUAGUAAGGUCCACCACCGUUGCUUCUCUCCCCAUAAAAAGCUAAAGUCAGUGUUUAAUGACGUUGAUUUAUCUUUGAGCAUUCCCUAUUAUAGGCUAUGUGUAAAAUGCUGUAUGUGUGUGUAGAAUUAACGUUUAUAUCAAGAAAGAAAGAACCAGCGAGGGACGCUCUUAUUCCCGCUCUCCUUGCUUGACCGCGAUCUAGCAUCUAGGAUCGAUUGCUCUACCUUGGGUCCCCGAAUGUUAACACUGAAUUUCAUACAUUGAAUUUUGGACCAGCAUUUCUUAAAGGUCAGGACCCAAAGUGUUUGAAAAAACUAAAGCUGGAAAGAUCAUGGGACCACGAGAACUGUUAUGAGCCUACGUAAAAGCAGAUGACCCUGCGAGAUUCACUGUGGACUUUGGCAUGUUGAACCUUUUUAAGUUAAAUUUUUUAGCGUUGUAUAUUUGAUAUUGAAUUUUUUAACACUGAAAAAUAAAGGGGAAAAUGAUUUGUUGAAAUUCUAAAGAGUUAAAACUUAAAAUUCAAUGGCUUUUUAUUUUCAAAAUCUGAUGAGACAGAUUUGCUUCCAUACAUAUGGGCCAUAGGAUUAUGAAUAGAUAGGAAAUAAGCGGCCUUCUUCCAUAGAUUCUUGCUGUAGGACCCGAUGAUGCUUGUUGCCACAGCAGAUACCGACACAUCAGUGGGCUGAACGGAGAUGAUGUGCAUAUGGAGGUGGCAGGCUGGCACUUGAAUAAAAUCGUAUGGCUAAUAAACUGCUUUUUGUAGUUAGAAGAAGUCAUCUCAAUAUAAAGUUAUAUGUGGCAAUAUUUUUAUGACUACGUUAAAGAUUCAGUGGGUUACUGGAUCGACAGUAGCCGUCUCAAACAAAAUGGAGGAGGCAAUUAAAGACACAGCCUGUCAUCAAUCCGGAUGUGGACUAUUUCUGAGAUACUGAACGUUAACAACAUAACUGAACUAGUAACUAUUCCUGGUUAUUGUUGCUCAAAUAUUGCCGUUUUUUCGGCUAACCUAUCGGUUGAACCAGGAAAAGCAUUUGCAGUACUUCAGAUUGCCAAAAUAUAUUACAAAUCAGGGAGAAUAGUGCAAAAAUUGCCUGAGGAAAGGAGGUGUUAUCGUUGGCCAAACCAAACCAGGAUUUCCAGUGCAAGAAUCUUAACAAAAUCAUUUUAAAGCUUUUUUAAAUAUUUUUGUUGUGUGGCACAAUCCACAAAGUAAACCAUGCUCAUCAGAAUCACACAAGUUUAUUAAAAGAGAACAAUAUAAUACUAGAACAGUUUAAAAACAGAGCAGAUUGUUUUGAAUGCAACAAGAUGAGCUUGACAAAUUUACUAGUCAGAAUAACAUUCUAAGAUGAACAAAAAAGUACUAAUAUAAUUCUGAAAUAAUCAGAAUCAUCAGUCAAUAAUUAUCCAUAAAAAUUAAGAGAAGAAGACUGUGACGUCACCAAAACCGAAACUCACACUUUCUGUGCUGAACAACGUUGGUCAUUGGGUGCAUCCAAGUCAGUAGGAAGGAAGCGGAAGGAACUGAAAACUAAAGGACAUAUUAUCAAAAAUGAAAAAAUUAUUUCAACGAUUACACAAAUAAUUAGUUGCAAGUUAUACAUUUUAUUUAUUUUAUUGGCUUGAAUUAAUUUCAUUCUCUUGAAUACUUAUUUUGGGUUGCUAUUCAAGAAUUGUGUUUUAUUAUAGUAACGCUGAUUCUAUUUACGUUAUUCCUUGGAUUAGAAAUCCUUAAAUAUAUUUACUUUGCAUGAAAUCAAUUCUGUAUCUUAAAUUUCAGUAUUAUCGUAAUGGCUGUUCACAGAAUAUUUCUUUAGAAUUUAGAUGUUAUAACCUAAACCAGCUAGCCAAUUUUGGUUGGUCUAGUUUUUAAAAAAAAAUGAGUGUUUCAGAAUUGUAAGUGAGGCCCAAGCUUUGUAAACCAUCAUUAUCAAGAAACGGUAAUGUUCUUAUCGUUUUAUUGGGCUAUAAUGGCUAUUAUAAAAAUGAUUAUAACGGCUGCAAACACAUGUCUUUCGAUAUCAAAUCACAUUCAUAGCCUAGUGUAGUCUAGUCAAAUCAAACUGCCUAUUUAUAAAUGUAGCCUUUCUAAGGUCUAUCUUCAUAUUUUGAUAAGCCUAUGUUCUUAUCGCAAUACUGUCAACUGGAAUGCUUAUUUAAACCUUUAAUAUCUUUGUUGUAGCCAUACCUCCGGCCCUGCUGAGGUUGGCAAUGCGGGAGUUUUGGUCUAUGGAGAAUUAAUGAUUUAUGAUUAAGAAGUAAUUGCGGGGAACACAUGAGAGUAGAGACACAUAUGGACCUGCAGAUAUGGCCAAACUUAAGAAGCAAUUACUCUGUUGCCCAACCUUGACCUUCAACUGCUUUGUUUAGAUCAAGCUUUGGUACAUUGAAUUCAAAAUUAUAAUAUGUAACAUGUAAUGCAUCUAAAUGUUUUCUAAGUGAGGGGUUGCCAUUGGACCUCAGUCAAGUGUAAAGGAAAGUGUGUAAUAUUCUGUAUUCUUCUGCUGAAGACAAUAAUGUAAGGUCAAAGUUUCUGAUACAGAGCUUUGUAAAUGCAAGGAGGACAGCAAAUACAAAUCCUGGGGGAGGACAGACAGUUUGUGAGGGAAAAGUAACAGGGUUUUAUUCAAAACGGUGGUAAAUGGAAGGGUCGCAAGUCAAAACAACAUCAUUAUUAAAGAUACCAACCUAUCAGAUAAUUAUACACAAUUAAAAACAAAUGGAUGAACAGCCUGGCUUAUUCUGAGAAAUAGCUUUUCCUUUUUGUUGUUAGGCUGUGUUAUAUCGCUGUCCUGGCAUGUAUUUGAACUAACCCCAUGGGGGUUGAGUAAAGUAUUACAAGGCAAUGAUUUACCAAGGAUUGAAGUUAUGUUUGCCUCUAUCUCAGCAUCCCCUUGGACAGACGUGGUUGGUACCUAGUCAAACAUCACCAUCUCAUGAAUAUAACCGAACGUCAUCACUCUCUUGCAACAUACUGUGUAUAAUUUCUAAAUACCCGGAUAUACCGUAAUGCCUCAUUACAGCAAAAAGCAUACUGUACAAUUUUUUUUAUUGUCCCAUAAUGUGGACUGAAUGUCGAUUGCAAUAUGUGAUUAGUUAAUUGUGUGAUUUCUAAAUUCUGCACAGUGUUGUACAAAGUUUUUGAUUCUGGCCCAAUCUGUGUUACUUUGUACCCUUGCUGGGCCAGCCUUAAUACCCCUGCUGUUUGGUCCGAGCAUCCUAACCCGAGCAGAAGUGUUUCCGCCGCAGUCCUCUCAGUAACCAUGGGAACAGAUAUGUUUCCUAUUAAAAUAUGCCCAGUGGUAAAGGAUCACAGUGCAAUGUUUUAGCAUGGUUCAACAAACCUUCAACAAUAGUAAAUGUUCUUUUCAUGAAUAAAUCUAUAUGCAGCCAUCACUGCAAAAAGCUGAUUAGAUGUGCAUGAGUUUGCUUGAUCUAUGCACAGUUUAUGCAGACAAUUUAACAGCUAUUGGUGUUAUUUGGCAUGACAGCAUUUUGUCUUUCAGUAUGCUUCGCUGUUUGAUGACAAAGUAUCUUCUGAUGUUGUAAGGUACGAGACUCCCACACUAACUCGCUUCACAAGGCAAUUCAUAUUUAUUGUUUUUUGCAUUCCAUUUCUUUAUACGUGAGAAUUGAUUACCUUUGAGAUCAGUCAAUUAAUGCCUGGUCUUUAUCCUGCUCUCUAAAAUUUGAAGCCACUCCUACACUUGAGCUACACUUCAACAGAAUAUUUAGCGUUAAGCCCUGCAGACUGACAGAUAAAACCCCUUUUAGCCGGCCGUACCUGCAGGCUGGGUGGGGUGGGGUUGUUCAAGGGUAGUGACCGGGACUUAGAGUCUGGAGCCUGGGGGAUCCUCUUAAGCCCCAAGAGAGGAGCAAAGAUCCCUCCUCCCUGAUGGGGAGCUACUUAAUGGAUGACAGAGUGUGUAAACCACAGGGAGAGCCUGCCUAACCCAAAACACUGCUGUGAGAACACUUAGGCGCAGAUGGGGUUCUGCCCACACACAUGCACACACGCACGCACGCACGCACGCACGCACGCACACACACACACACACACACACACACACACACACACACACACACACACACACACACACACACACACACACACACACACACACACACACACACACACACACACACACACACA